GGAUGAACGCUGGCGGCGUGCCUAAUACAUGCAAGUCGAGCGAACGGACGAGAAGCUUGCUUCUCUGAUGUUAGCGGCGGACGGGUGAGUAACACGUGGGUAACCUACCUAUAAGACUGGGAUAACUUCGGGAAACCGGAGCUAAUACCGGAUGAUAUUUUGAACCGCAUGGUUCAAAAGUGAAAGACGGUCUUGCUGUCACUUAUAGAUGGAUCCGCGCUGCAUUAGCUAGUUGGUAAGGUAACGGCUUACCAAGGCAACGAUGCAUAGCCGACCUGAGAGGGUGAUCGGCCACACUGGAACUGAGACACGGUCCAGACUCCUACGGGAGGCAGCAGUAGGGAAUCUUCCGCAAUGGGCGAAAGCCUGACGGAGCAACGCCGCGUGAGUGAUGAAGGUCUUCGGAUCGUAAAACUCUGUUAUUAGGGAAGAACAUAUGUGUAAGUAACUGUGCACAUCUUGACGGUACCUAAUCAGAAAGCCACGGCUAACUACGUG
rnacentral:rRNA from 1 species